UAAAUCGUUUAACGAGUAUCAAUUGGAGGGCAAGUCUGGUGCCAGCAGCCGCGGUAAUUCCAGCUCCAAUAGCGUAUAUUAAAGUUGCUGCAGUUAAAAAGCUCGUAGUUGGAUCUGGGGCUUGAGGUCGCUGUCUAUCGUUUCGGCGAUGACGGUGAUGCUCAGCUCUGCUUGCCGGUGACUGUUGCGGUGUUCUUCACUGAGCGCUGUAGCAGCACGGCACGUUUACUUUGAAAAAAUUAGAGUGCUCAAAGCGUGCUUGUCGCUUGAAUAAUGUUGCAUGGAAUAAUGGAAUAGGACCUCGGUUCUAUUUUGUUGGUUUUCGGAGCUUGAGGUAAUGAUUAAGAGGGACGAACGGGGGCAUUCGUAUUGCGGUGUUAGAGGUGAAAUUCUUGGAUCGCCGCAAGACGGACUACUGCGAAAGCAUUUGCCAAGAACGCUUUCAUUAAUUAAGAACGAAAGUCAGAGGUUCGAAGACGAUCAGACACCGUCCUAGUUCUGACCAUAAACGAUGCCGACCAGCGAUCCGUAGUGGUUGCUUUAUGGACCCUACGGGCAGCCUCCGGGAAACCAAAGUAUUUGGGUUCCGGGGGAAGUAUGGUCGCAAAGCUGAAACUUAAAGGAAUUGACGGAAGGGCACACCAGGAGUGGAGCCUGCGGCUUAAUUUGACACAACACGGGAAAACUCACCCGGUCCGGACACCGUAAGGAUUGACAGACUGAUAGCUCUUUCUUGAUUCGGUGGAUGGUGGUGCAUGGCCGUUCUUAGUUGGUGGAGUGAUUUGUCUGGUUAAUUCCGAUAACGAACGAGACUCUAGCCUGCUAAGUAGUGUUGCUAUUGUUAUAUGGUUGACACUUCUUAGAGGGACAAGUGGCAUUUAGCCACGCGAAAUUGAGCAAUAACAGGUCUGUGAUGCCCUUAGACGUCCGGGGCCGCACGCGCGCUACACUGGAGAAGUCAGCGUGUGUUAUCCAAGUCCGAAAGGACUGGGUAAUCCGUUGAACCUUCUUCGUGCUUGGGACUGUGGCUUGGAACUAUUCCACAUGAACGAGGAAUUCCUAGUAAUUGCAAGUCAUAAGCUUGCGUUGAUUACGUCCCUGCCCUUUGUACACACCGCCCGUCGCUACUACCGAUUGAAUGGUUUAGCAAGGUCCUCGGAUCGUGGCCGUAGGGGCACGCAAGUGUUUCUGCGGUUUGCGAGAAGACGACCAAACUUGAUCAUUUAGA
rnacentral:rRNA from 1 species